GUGGGGAAUCUUGCGCAAUGGGCGAAAGCCUGACGCAGCCAUGCCGCGUGAAUGAUGAAGGUCUUAGGAUUGUAAAAUUCUUUCACCGGGGACGAUAAUGACGGUACCCGGAGAAGAAGCUCCGGCUAACUUCGUGCCAGCAGCCGCGGUAAUACGAAGGGGGCUAGCGUUGCUCGGAAUUACUGGGCGUAAAGGGCGCGUAGGCGGACAGCUUAGUCAGAGGUGAAAGCCCAGGGCUCAACCUUGGAAUUGCCUUUGAUACUGGCUGACUUGAGUUUGGGAGAGGUGAGUGGAACUCCGAGUGUAGAGGUGAAAUUCGUAGAUAUUCGGAAGAACACCAGUGGCGAAGGCGACUCACUGGCCCAAUACUGACGCUGAGGCGCGAAAGCGUGGGGAGCAAACAGGAUUAGAAACCCUGGUAGUCC
rnacentral:rRNA from 1 species